GAGGAAUAAGCAUCGGCUAACUCCGUGCCAGCAGCCGCGGUAAUACGGGGGAUGCAAGCGUUAUCCGGAAUCAUUGGGCGUAAAGCGCCUGUAGGUUGUUUAAUAAGUCUGUUGUUAAAGACUAGGGCUUAACCCUAGAAAAGCAAUGGAAACUACUAGACUAGAGUAUGGCAGGGGUAGAGGGAAUUUCUAGUGUAGCGGUGAAAUGCGUAGAUAUUAGAAAGAACACCGGUGGCGAAAGCGCUCUACUGGACCAUUACUGACACUCAGAGGCGAAAGCUAGGGUAGCAAAAGGGAUUAGAUACCCCUGUAGUCCUAGCCGUAAACGAUGGAUACUACAUGUUGUGCAUUAUGUACAGUAUGGUAGCUAACGCGUUAAGUAUCCCGCCUGGGGAGUACGCUCGCAAGGGUGAAACUCAAAGGAAUUGACGGGGGCCCGCACAAGCGGUGGAGCAUGUGGUUUAAUUCGAUGCAACGCGAAGAACCUUACCAGGACUUGACAUACUACAAAUUCUUUUGAGAAAAAGAAGUGCCUUCGGGAAUGUAGAUACAGGUGGUGCAUGGCUGUCGUCAGCUCGUGUCGUGAGAUGUUGGGUUAAGUCCCGCAACGAGCGCAACCCUUAUUUUUAGUUACCAAUUCGUUGGGUUCUCUAGAAAGACUGCCGGUGACAAACCGGAGGAAGGUGAGGAUGACGUCAAGUCAGCAUGCCCCUUAUGUCCUGGGCUACACACGUGCUACAAUGGUUAAGACAAAGAGUCGCGAGCUCGCAAGAGUCAGCUAAUCUCAUAAACUUAGCCCAAGUUCAGAUUGUAGGCUGCAACUCGCCUGCAUGAAG
rnacentral:rRNA from 1 species